CCAUUCUUCCUUACUUCCCAUAUCUGCCGCCGAUGCUGUAUGGAAUGUAAAGAAGUAUGGAG
rnacentral:pre_miRNA from 1 species